rnacentral:rRNA from 1 species
GUUGUAUGGUUAAGUGACUAAGCGUACAUGGUGGAUGCCUUGGCAGUCAGAGGCGAUGAAGGACGUACUAACCUGCGAUAAGCCGUGAGCAGUCGGUAAGAGACAUUACGACUCACGGAUUUCCGAAUGGGGAAACCCACUUAGCAUAAGCUAGGUAUCGCUACGUGAAUACAUAGCGUAGCGAGGCGAACCGGGAGAACUGAAACAUCUAAGUACCCCGAGGAAAAGAAAUCAACCGAGAUUCCCUCAGUAGCGGCGAGCGAACGGGGAUUAGCCCUUAAGCAUCUUGGAAGUUAGUGGAACGGUCCUGGAAAGGCCGGCGAUACAGGGUGAUAGCCCCGUACACGAAAACAACCUUGAUGUGAAAUCGAGUAGGGCGGGACACGUGACAUCCUGUCUGAAUAUGGGGGGACCAUCCUCCAAGGCUAAAUACUCCUGACUGACCGAUAGUGAACCAGUACCGUGAGGGAAAGGCGAAAAGAACCCCUGUGAGGGGAGUGAAAUAGAACCUGAAACCGUGUACGUACAAGCAGUGGGAGCCCUUCGGGGUGACUGCGUACCUUUUGUAUAAUGGGUCAGCGACUUACAUUUUGUAGCGAGGUUAACCGUAUAGGGGAGCCGUAGGGAAACCGAGUCUUAACUGGGCGUCUAGUUGCAAGGUGUAGACCCGAAACCGGGUGAUCUAGCCAUGGGCAGGUUGAAGGUUGAGUAACAUCAACUGGAGGACCGAACCCACUAACGUUGCAAAGUUAGGGGAUGACCUGUGGCUGGGGGUGAAAGGCCAAUCAAACUCGGAGAUAGCUGGUUCUCCCCGAAAGCUAUUUAGGUAGCGCCUCGGACGAAUACUACUGGGGGUAGAGCACUGUUUGGGCUAGGGGGUCAUCCCGACUUACCAACCCCAUGCAAACUCCGAAUACCAGUAAGUAAUAUCCGGGAGACACACGGCGGGUGCUAACGUCCGUCGUGAAGAGGGAAACAACCCAGACCGCCGGCUAAGGUCCCAAAGUUCUGGUUAAGUGGGAAACGAUGUGGGAAGGCUCAGACAGCUAGGAUGUUGGCUUAGAAGCAGCCAUCAUUUAAAGAAAGCGUAAUAGCUCACUAGUCGAGUCGGCCUGCGCGGAAGAUGUAACGGGGCUCAAACCAGGCACCGAAGCCGCGGAUUCACGCUAAGCGUGAGUGGUAGGGGAGCGUUCUGUAAGUCUGCGAAGGUGUGUCGAGAGGCAUGCUGGAGAUAUCAGAAGUGCGAAUGCUGACGUAAGUAACGAUAAAGGGGGUGAAAAGCCUCCUCGCCGGAAGACCAAGGGUUCCUGUCCAACGUUAAUCGGGGCAGGGUGAGUCGACCCCUAAGGCGAGGCCGAAAGGCGUAGUCGAUGGGAAGCAGGUUAAUAUUCCUGCACGACUUGUAAUUGCGAUGGGGGGACGGAGAAGGCUAGGUGGGCCAGGCGACGGUUGUCCUGGUGAAAGUGCGUAGGUGGUGUUUCUAGGCAAAUCCGGAGACACAACACUGAGACACGAGACGAACGCACUACGGUGCGGAAGCCAUUGAUGCCCUGCUUCCAGGAAAAGCCUCUAAGCUUCAGAUUACAAGUCAUCGUACCCCAAACCGACACAGGUGGUCGGGUAGAGAAUACCAAGGCGCUUGAGAGAACUCGGGUGAAGGAACUAGGCAAAAUAGAACCGUAACUUCGGGAGAAGGUUCGCUCUUGACAGUGAAGUCCCUUGCGGAUGGAGCAGUUGGGAGUCGCAGUGACCAGAUGGCUGGGACUGUUUAUCAAAAACACAGCACUCUGCAAACACGAAAGUGGACGUAUAGGGUGUGACACCUGCCCGGUGCCGGAAGGUUAAUUGAUGGGGUUAGCGCAAGCGAAGCUCUUGAUCGAAGCCCCGGUAAACGGCGGCCGUAACUAUAACGGUCCUAAGGUAGCGAAAUUCCUUGUCGGGUAAGUUCCGACCUGCACGAAUGGUGUAACCAUGGCCAUGCUGUCUCCACCCGAGACUCAGUGAAAUCGAAUUCGCCGUGAAGAUGCGGUGUACCCGCGGCUAGACGGAAAGACCCCGUGAACCUUUACUACAGCUUGGCACUGAACAUUGAACCUACAUGUGUAGGAUAGGUGGGAGGCUUUGAAGGCGUGACGCCAGUUGCGCUGGAGCCGUCCUUGAAAUACCACCCUUGUAUGUUUGAUGUUCUAACGCAGGCCCCUGAAUCGGGGUCGCGGACAGUGCCUGGUGGGUAGUUUGACUGGGGCGGUCUCCUCCCAAAGAGUAACGGAGGAGCACGAAGGUUGGCUAAUCCUGGUCGGACAUCAGGAGGUUAGUGCAAUGGCAUAAGCCAGCUUGACUGCGAGCGUGACGGCGCGAGCAGGUGCGAAAGCAGGUCAUAGUGA